rnacentral:rRNA from 1 species
UGGGGAAUAUUGCACAAUGGGCGCAAGCCUGAUGCAGCCAUGCCGCGUGUAUGAAGAAGGCCUUCGGGUUGUAAAGUACUUUCAGCGGGGAGGAAGGGAGUAAAGUUAAUACCUUUGCUCAUUGACGUUACCCGCAGAAGAAGCACCGGCUAACUCCGUGCCAGCAGCCGCGGUAAUACGGAGGGUGCAAGCGUUAAUCGGAAUUACUGGGCGUAAAGCGCACGCAGGCGGUAUGGUAAGUCAGAUGUGAAAUCCCCGGGCUCAACCUGGGAACUGCAUCUGAUACUGGCAAGCUUGAGUCUCGUAGAGGGGGGUAGAAUUCCAGGUGUAGCGGUGAAAUGCGUAGAGAUCUGGAGGAAUACCGGUGGCGAAGGCGGCCCCCUGGACGAAGACUGACGCUCAGGUGCGAAAGCGUGGGGAGCAAACA